rnacentral:tRNA from 1 species
ACCGGUUUAAUAAAGGGGCUAAAACGGGGGGUUGUACCCCCAAAGGGGGUUACCCCCCUGGAA